rnacentral:rRNA from 1 species
GGAUACCCGGGGAACUGGGGCUAAUACCCCAUAGGCCUGAGGUACUGGAAGGUCCUCAGGCCAAAAGGGACUUAUGUCCGCCCGAGGAUGGGCCGGCGGCCGAUUAGGUAGUUGGUGGGGUAAUGGCCCACCAAGCCGAAGAUCGGUACGGGCUGUGAGAGCAGGAGCCCGGAGAUGGACACUGAGACACGGGUCCAGGCCCUACGGGGCGCAGCAGGCGCGAAACCUCCGCAAUGCGGGAAACCGCGACGGGGGGACCCCGAGUGCCGUGGCAACGCCACGGCUUUUCCGGAGUGUAAAAAGCUCCGGGAAUAAGGGCUGGGCAAGGCCGGUGGCAGCCGCCGCGGUAAUACCGGCGGCCCGAGUGGUGGCCGCUAUUAUUGGGCCUAAAGCGUCCGUAGCCGGGCCCGUAAGUCCCUGGCGAAAUCCCACGGCUCAACCGUGGGGCUUGCUGGGGAUACUGCGGGUCUUGGGACCGGGAGAGGCGGGGGGUACCCCUGGGGUAGGGGUGAAUUCCUAUAAUCCCAGGGGGACCGCCAGUGGCGAAGGCGCCCCGCUGGA